rnacentral:rRNA from 1 species
CAGUCGCCGCGGUAAUACGAAGGGGGCUAGCGUUGCUCGGAAUGACUGGGCGUAAAGGGCGCGUAGGCGGAUUGUUUAGUUAGGCGUGAAAUUCCUGGGCUUAACCUGGGGACUGCGCUUAAUACAGGCAGUCUAGAGUGAGGAAGAGGGUUGUGGAAUUCCCAGUGUAGAGGUGAAAUUCGUAGAUAUUGGGAAGAACACCGGUGGCGAAGGCGGCAACCUGGUCCUUGACUGACGCUGAGGCGCGAAAGCGUGGGGAGCAAACAGGAUUAGAUACCCGCGUAGUCCCUGUCUCUUAUAC